UACGUAGGGCGCAAGCGUUAUCCGGAAUUAUUGGGCGUAAAGAGCUCGUAGGCGGUUUGUCGCGUCUGCCGUGAAAGUCCGGGGCUCAACUCCGGAUCUGCGGUGGGUACGGGCAGACUAGAGUGCAGUAGGGGAGACUGGAAUUCCUGGUGUAGCGGUGAAAUGCGCAGACUAUCAGGAGGAACACCGAUGGCGAAGGCAGGUCUCUGGGCUGUAACUGACGCUGGAGGAGCGAAAGCUGGGGAGCGAACAGG
rnacentral:rRNA from 1 species